rnacentral:misc_RNA from 1 species
AACAUGUGUGGAAGUCUGAGGAAACAAAGAAACAUCAGUGAACUAGUCAAUCAGUAAAUCCCAUUGAUAGGGGAUAAAUUCUAUGGUACUUCAUCAAUGAAGCAUGCUAAAUUGUAACAAAAAUAGUGCAUUGCCAAAAUAUGGUAACAGAAACCAAGAAAACAACAGGGAUUACAGUUUUGAGUGACCAACUACAAGUCUUGUGAAUUCAAGUUCCUUCUUUUUCUCUUAAGAACUCCUAGUUACAUGCACACUCAAACAAAAAUGUGUCAGUAAAUAUUUAUAUAUGUGAAAGCAUUCAACCCAAGAACUUUGGCGAGAGGCCCUUCUCCACAUUAAUUCCUGAAGAAACAUCACACACAAGCAACAAAUUUCAAUGGGAUUUCUCCAAGAAAGCGAAUACAAAAAUCCCUCAAAUAAUUGAUAUUCUACUUGGAAACUGAAAAUAUUAACUAUAUGAGAGUAUCAAAUUUAAGGAUAAUAUAUGAUAUUAUUAAGUUAAAUAACUUCUUCAUAUGAUAUUUUCAAGUGACUGGCUUCGAUCAUGAUUCUGCAGCAGCAGCAGCAAUCAUGCAGUUUCAACUUCAAUAAUGUGAGGUUGCGAAAUAAUGAAGUUUCCAUCCAUUGCCAUUG